rnacentral:lncRNA from 7 species
AGAUUUGGGGCCGACUGGGCUGAAUUUGGGGUCAUUUCAUGAGAGUUUGGGGUCAGGGCCGGAGAUUUGGGGUCAGAUGCUGAGAUUUGUGGCCGAUUGGGCUGAAUUUGGGGUCGGGUGCUGAGGUUUGGGGUCAGUUUGUGAGAGUUUGGGUCAGAUGGCUGAGAUUUGGGGUCAGAUGCUGAGAUUUGGGGUCCGUUUGUGAGAGUUGGGGUCAGGGCUGGAGUUUUGGGGUCAUUUCAUGAGAGUUUGGGGUCAUUUCAUGAGAGUUUGGGGUCAGAUGCUAAGAUUUGGGGUCUGUUUGUGAGAGUUUGGGGUCAGUCUGUGAGAGUUUGGGGUCAGAUCCGGAGAUAUGGGGUCAGAUGCUGAGAUUUGGGGCCAAUACAGCUGAAUUUGGGGUCAUUUCUUGAGAUUUUGGGGUCGUUUUGUGGGAGUUUGGGGUCAGGUGCUGAAAUUUGGGGUGGAUUCAGCUGAAUUUGGGGUCAGUUUGGGCGAUUUCGGGGCCAAUUCAGGGGAAUUUGGGAUCAUUUCCUGAGAUUUGGGGUCAGGUGCUGAGAUUUG